rnacentral:rRNA from 1 species
UACUGCUAUCAGUGUUCGAUUAAGCCAUGCGAGUUAAAUGUUCUUCGUGAACAUGGCGUACUGCUCAGUAACACGUGGAUAACCUGCCCUAAGGUCCGGCAUAACCCCGGGAAACUGGGGAUAAUACCGGAUAAACCAUAGAUACUGGAAUGUUCUGUGGUUAAAAGUUCCGGCGCCUUAGGAUGGAUCUGCGGCCUAUCAGGUAGUAGUGGGUGUAAAGUACCUACUAGCCGACGACGGGUACGGGUUGUGAGAGCAAGAGCCCGGAGAUGGAUUCUGAGACAUGAAUCCAGGCCCUACGGGGCGCAGCAGGCGCGAAAUCUUUACAAUGCGGGAAACCGCGAUAAGGGGACACUGAGUGCCAGCAUAUUAUGCUGGCUGUCCACCUGUAUAAAUCACAGGUGUUAGCAAGGGCCGGGCAAGACCGGUGCCAGCCGCCGCGGUAACACCGGCGGCCCGAGUGGUAGCCACUAUUAUUGGGCUUAAAGCGUUCGUAGCUGGGUUGUUAAGUCUCUUGGGAAAUCUCAC